rnacentral:rRNA from 1 species
UGGGGAAUUUUGGACAAUGGGGGAAACCCUGAUCCAGCCAUCCCGCGUGUGCGAUGAAGGCCUUCGGGUUGUAAAGCACUUUUGGCAGGAAAGAAACGUCGCGGGUUAAUACCCCGCGGAACUGACGGUACCUGCAGAAUAAGCACCGGCUAACUACGUGCCAGCAGCCGCGGUAAUACGUAGGGUGCAAGCGUUAAUCGGAAUUACUGGGCGUAAAGCGUGCGCAGGCGGUUCGGAAAGAAAGAUGUGAAAUCCCAGAGCUUAACUUUGGAACUGCAUUUUUAACUACCGGGCUAGAGUGUGUCAGAGGGAGGUGGAAUUCCGCGUGUAGCAGUGAAAUGCGUAGAUAUGCGGAGGAACACCGAUGGCGAAGGCAGCCUCCUGGGAUAACACUGACGCUCAUGCACGAAAGCGUGGGGAGCAAACAGGAUUAGAUACCCUGGUAGUCCACGCCCUAAACGAUGUCAACUAGCUGUUGGGGUCUUCGGACCUUGGUAGCGCAGCUAACGCGUGAAGUUGACCGCCUGGGGAGUACGGUCGCAAGAUUAAAACUCAAAGGAAUUGACGGGGUCAUAGCUUUUCCUG